AACCAUAGAACGCGCGCCGCGGCAAGCAUGUUCGACGCUCGCGACGCGAAUCCCGGCGAAC
rnacentral:sRNA from 1 species